rnacentral:rRNA from 1 species
UACAGAGGGUGCAAGCGUUAAUCGGAUUUACUGGGCGUAAAGGGCGCGUAGGUUGUUAUUUAAGUGAGAUGUGAAAUCCCCGGGCUUAACCUGGGAACUGCAUCUUAUACUGGGUAACUGAGUGCAAUAGAGGGUAGUGGAAUUCCGGUGUAGCGGUGAAAUGCGUAGAUAUCGGAAGGAACACCAGUGGCGAAGGCGGCUACCUGGAUUGACACUGACACUGAGGCGCGAGAGCGUGGGGGAGCAAACAGG